CUUCAUGGGGCAAUCAUGCGUGAAGAGUCCACAGAAUUUGCAGAAGGUAUCAUAAUUGAAGAAUUUCGUAAGGGUUUCAAACUUGGUGAUAGGCUUUUGCGUCCAUCAUUGGUCAAGGUAUCUGCUGGUCCUGGCCCAGCUAAGUCCAGAGAGCAGUAGGGCAAUCAGAGAAAUGCAGGUAAGAGCAGUGAAACAAGCGAUGGAACUCAUCCAGGAGAAUCUACUUAAUUUUCCUGGAUACUUAAAUUUAGAUCAGUUUUGUAGAAAUAGUUCUUGUUUGAAGGGGUGUAGAGUUUUUAUUUAUUUAUUUGAAAAUUUUUCAUUGUGAAGUAGUUGUUGCAUAGGUAAAAGAAAACUUUCAAGAUAGGAUGUCAUGAUGUAUUUUCUUUUUGAAUCUUCUUUACACAUUUAGAUGACCAUGUUUUGGGUUGCAAUCUCUACUCCAUCUCAAUUUACUUACAGGCUGUGUUUGGUAUGCGUAUCAGAAGUUCUGGGUCUAGAAUGCAUUCUGGAAUGGCAGAAAUCAGUAAGAUUCAGAUUGAAUGGACAUAGAGGGACGGAGUCUAGUUCAGUUUUCUGGGGUGAAAGCCUUGAAAAACGUUUCGCCAUUUCCUAGCACGCCCUUUGUUAGGUACACAUUCUCAUUCUAAAUUCCUAGAAUGGAGUCAAGAAUGGACCUCGUUUGGGAAUGGGUUUUCCCAUUCCACUUUCCACGUUCUCCUUUUUUUGUUAUCCCCGACUCUUCACUGACUCCCGACUAUCAAAGCUUCUUGUUUAUGUUACUUAGAGAAUAGGAGCUUGGAUUGAUGGCUCCACAGGAAGAUUGGAGGAUUGACGCUGUCUGGUUCCGUCCAUCACUAGAGUUGGAUUAGCCUAAAAGGUUGCAGAUUGCAGUUGGAGCUUCACAAGGGCUUUGUUACGUGAACCAUGAUUGCUCUUUGCCAAUUGUUAACCCUGAUGUGAAGUCAAGCAACAUGCUACUAGACUCAAGACUUCAAGGCAAGGAUUGCAGAUUUUGGGCUUGCCAAGCUGAUGCAUAAGCCAGGGGGCCUAACAAAAUGUCUUUCUUUUGGCUACAUUUCUCGAGAAUUUUCUUAUACAACCGAUGUGAAUGAGAAGAUUGAUAUCUACAGCUUUGGGGAGGUGCUGUUGGAAUUGGCAACAGCAAGAGAAGCCAAUGAUGGAGAUGAGCAUAUGUGUCAGGCUGAGUGGGCAUGGCAUUACUUCCAAGACGGCAAAUCCAUCAUCGAUGCCCUUGACGUGAGGAUAGGGAACUUCCAUGAUGAGGAAUUUGUUUGAACACCCAGCAGCUUGGCAUAGUAAUGAUUCCUCAGAGAUCACUUCCUUGAUGUUGUACUUGAGGGUAAAGGUUUCCCAGAUCUGAAUUUACCUUAGUCUGAAGAAGGGAUCAUUGCUCUGUUGGAAAAUCCUACAGUUGAGUUCGACUUUGCUGCUGAUGACUUAGAUCUCGAGAUAAAUGGUUUAGUUGUUAAGAUGGGGACGGAGUCUGAAUUAGAGGUGCUUGUAAUGAAUGGUCUUUGAGUAAGGAAGACGAAGAGGACGGGCUUUGAUGGAAAAAAAAAGUCGAAAGAUGACAGGUUUAAGGAAUGAAUGGAGUGUUAGAAGUUAGAAAGCAGGAAAUGCCCAGACUAUGCAGGAUGCAAAAAGAUUGUGCUGCCUCCCCCCCCUCCCCUUUGGUGUGUGCUGAAUAUGCUGCCACAUGCCCUCCCAUUGGCCCGUUGGUUUACUGUUUCCACAGUUCUUUCGCCCUAAGAAAAGAGCCCUCAUAACUCGUGCUAGUGCAGCCUAAGAGGAUAAGGGUCCAGUUGUGAACUUGUGGUGACAUGGACAGAUUGUUUUGCCAGCGCAAAUGCCACAUGGUAUAUACCUAUCUAAAGCUGUCUAGUAGGGUUUUAAGAAUUGGAAUCAGAUCGGGCGAGGCUGAUUUGGAGUCGAUCUUUGCAUGGAUUCUGGGGUUAGGAUAUGUCUUGGCCAAUUUUGAUCGAUUUCUUUUCGAUUCUGAUCAAAGUCGGCUAGGAGUCUAGGACCAAGACAGAUCCAGCUCCCGAUUCUAGGUUUUUGAUCUCUAUUGUCUAAGGAACUGUGGCAGAAUGAAGGAACAUACGCCCAUUUAUUAUGUCAGACAAGGCUAGUUGGAGUGCACGCUCGGCCCUAAAUUUCACUGGGCUUCUAAUGGAACAAUUGUAACAGCCACAUAUCGGCAUAACUUGGUUGUAACAGGCCUGGAUGACCCUUGGAGCGCCCAAUCUAAGUCAGUCCAGUUGAGCAUCAGUAGACUUGGCUUGGGAUCAGGUAAGAAUGAAUAGUGGGAAAUCAAAUCCUGAGGUCUAAUAAUUAAAUCAUUCAAGUA